rnacentral:rRNA from 1 species
GAAAGGCCAAUCAAACCGGGAGAUAGCUGGUUCUCCCCGAAAGCUAUUUAGGUAGCGCCUCGUGAACUCAUCUUCGGGGGUAGAGCACUGUUUCGGCUAGGGGGUCAUCCCGACUUACCAACCCGAUGCAAACUACGAAUACCGAAGAAUGUUAUCACGGGAGACACACGGCGGGUGCUAACGUCCGUCGUGAAGAGGGAAACAACCCAGACCGCCAGCUAAGGUCCCAAAGUCAUGGUUAAGUGGGAAACGAUGUGGGAAGGCACAGACAGCCAGGAUGUUGGCUUAGAAGCAGCCAUCAUUUAAAGAAAGCGUAAUAGCUCACUGGUCGAGUCGGCCUGCGCGGAAGAUGUAACGGGGCUAAACCAUGCACCGAAGCUGCGGCAGCGACACUAUGUGUUGUUGGGUAGGGGAGCGUUCUGUAAGCCUGCGAAGGUG